NNNNNNNNNNNNNNNNNNNNNNNNNNNNNNNNNNNNNNNNNNNNNUGGGGAAACUUACUCAGCACCUGGCAUGAUGGCAGCAAAUGAAAGUAGUCUGUCUCUGAGGGGGAGGAGGUUCUUAGCUGAGGAACUAGCAAGACUCGUUGACAGGUCUUUAAACUAGGUAUGAAGGGGGAAGGGAGCAAAAUCAGGGAUGUCGAGCUUGAGCGGGUCAUUCCAGGGCUCGUACCGAACCUGCUGGGCGACGACAGUCAAGUACGAAGGGAUGGACUGGGGCAGGGGGGUGUAGGGGAUGCUGCGGUUCUAGGGGAACCUAGACCAUCUAUAGAGGCGGUGCGACGGAAAGCCGAACUGAAGUGCCUUUAUACCAAUGCACGCAGCCUGGGAAACAAGCAGGAUGAGUUGGAAACCGUGACGUGCUUAGAAAAUUACGACCUUGUUGCUAUCACGGAAACGUGGUGGGAUGAUUCCCAUAACUGGAAUACCACCAUUGAGGGCUAUCGGCUCUUUAGAAGAGAUAGGCUAGGUAGGAAGGGUGGGGGAGUAGCCCUCUAUGUCAAAGAGUGGAUAGACUGUGAGGAGCUCCCUCUGAGAAACAGUCAUGAUCAGGUUGAGAGCCUGUGGGGUAGAAUUAGGGAUGGGUCUAACAAAGGCCAGCUGGUGAUAGGAGUAUACUACAGGCCACCUGAUCAAGGGGACACUGUUGACAAGGCUUUCUUGCUUCAGAUGUGGGAGGCUUCGUGCUCACAGGCUCUUGUCCUGAUGGGGGACUUCAACCAUUCGGAUAUCUCCUGGAUAGACCACACGGCGAGUUGCAAGAGGUCCAGGAGGCUCCUGGAAUGUGUUGAUGAUAACUUUCUGGUCCAGGUGUUGGACAGACCGACCAGAGGUGAAGCGCUGCUGGACCUGCUGCUCACCAAUGUGGAGGAAAUAAUUGGUUUCAACGGACGGAGAGAAGGCCGAGGUACUGAAUGAGUUCUUUGCCUCGGUCUCCACUGGCGGCCAGGACUCCAGUACUCCUUCCGUCCCUGAGCCCUGCAUCCCUACACCUCUGGGUGGGAACUGGGGUGGUAAAUCCCCCCCUACUGUGAGGACAGAGCAGG
rnacentral:lncRNA from 1 species